rnacentral:rRNA from 1 species
GAUGAACGCUGGCGGCGUGCUUAACACAUGCAAGUCGAACGCUGAAGCUUGGUGCUUGCUCUGGGUGGAUGAGUGGCGAACGGGUGAGUAAUACGUGAGUAACCUGCCCUUGACUCUGGGAUAAGCCUGGGAAACUGGGUCUAAUACUGGAUACGACAUGUCACCGCAUGGUGGUGUGUGGAAAGGGUUUUACUGGGUUUGGAUGGGCUCACGGCCAAUCAGCUUGUCGGUGGGGUAAUGGCACACCAAGGCGACGCCGGGUAGCCGGCCUGAGAGGGGGGCCGGCCACACGGGGACUGAGACACGGCCCAGACUCCUACGGGAGGCAGCAGGGGGGAAUAUUGCACAAUGGGCGGAAGCCAGAUGCAGCGACGCCGCGUGAGGGAUGACGGCCUUCGGGUUGUAAACCUCUUUCAGCACGGAAGAAGCGAAAGUGACGGUACGUACAGAAGAAGCGCCGGCUAACUACGUG